UACGUAGGUCCCGAGCGUUGUCCGGAUUUAUUGGGCGUAAAGCGAGCGCAGGUGGUUUAUUAAGUCUGGUGUAAAAGGCAGUGGCUCAACCAUUGUAUGCAUUGGAAACUGGUAGACUUGAGUGCAGGAGAGGAGAGUGGAAUUCCAUGUGUAACGGUGAAAUGCGUAGAUAUAUGGAGGAACACCGGUGGCGAAAGCGGCUCUCUGGCCUGUAACUGACACUGAGUCUCGAAAGCGUGGGGAGCAAACAGG
rnacentral:rRNA from 1 species